GAUUCAACAAAGUUAUUGUGGUAAUAUGACUCCUUGUUCAAGAGCACUGACAGUCCCACUCAGAACAAAAAAGCACUUCGAUAGUCUUGUAUCUAAAAAUAAACUGUGUGCCAAAUGGAAUGUCAUGCAACAAUGACACAGAGCAAAACAGUGCGCGCUAUCAAGUGUAGAACACAAAGGGCAACUAAUCAUUCUGUUGGAAUACAUGACCAGGGUGAAAUUAUUGCUUACACAUCUAUUAAAGGUGUGCAGAUAAAUACAUAUGUACAAAACUGCUACCAAUCUGCUUCUAGAUCCGAAAUUCAAAUGUAAAGAAACUUUCACAGAAUCUCUUCCAACACAUGCAAAUCAAAGGUGGUCAGACUUCAGCCUAAAUAUAGUCUCCAUGUAAUAGGAUAAAAGGCACUAUAUGAACAAAUAAAUGAUGGUGAUAAUAUCUCUAAACAGUGGCAAAAACAUACAACUAAUGAAAUUCAAAAAGAUGUUCUGGAACACAAAAAUUUCAAAAGAAGGAAAAUUUCAAUACAUGUGGACAUUCAAAAGAAAGCUGCUUGAUAGAUUUGUAUGUUUACAGACUUUGAAUGUUUACAGUCAGGAUCAUAACUAGCAUCUUACUGUGUGAUCCCAUCACCUCAACUAUGUAAAGGUAAAGGUUUCCCCAGAUGUUAAGUCCAGUCAUGUCUGACUCUGGGGCUGGUGCUCAUCUCCAUUUCUAAGCCGAAGAGCCGGCGUUGUCCGUAGACACCUCCAAGGUCAUGUGGCCGGCAUGACUGCAUGGAGCGCAAUUACCUUCCCGCCGGAGCAGUACCUCUUGAUCUACUCACAUUGGCAUGUUUUUGAAUUGCUAGGUUGGCAGAAGCUGGAGCUCACAGCGGGCGCUCACUCCGCUCUAGGGAUUUGAACCUGGGACCUUUCGGUCUGCAAGUUCAGCAGCUCAGUGCUUUAACACACUUCGCCACCGGGGCUCCUCAACUAUGUAACUAUGCUAAUAUACCUUAUUUUUGUAUUCCAUCAGUGUAUUUGAAGGUGUGGUUUGAAAUUCAUGAAAGCUUUCAAAACCCAUCUUCAAAUACUCUGACGGACAAGUUAGGCUUUAAAGAUGAUACUUUAAAGGUUAUUCCAUGUCUUUUUUAUCCAGAAAACUGAUAUCUAUUCUAUGUCAUUUUCAAUUUUUAUUGGUAGUAUUAGAGUUAAAUUCAUUGUGCUUUCACACAAAUGUCCACUGCUCGUAAAGAGCUGGAUAGCCUUGUUUUACAUUGACAUUUACUGCGAAUCACCUACAAUAUACCAGUAGAUUCGAACCCACCUACUUCUUAUCUCCGUUUAUUUAUUUAUUUAUUUACGGCACUUUUACCUCACCUUUCUCAACCUCGGGGGGGGGGGGGGGGGACUCAAGGCAGCUUCACAACAUAGGCAACAACAAUUCAAUGCCUUUAAAAAACAGAAUACAAUAAAACAACCAUUGAAAAUAAAAUAAGAUACUAAAAUACAAUUAAAAACAUUUAAAUCCAUACAAUUGAGUAGAAGAAACAAUCUGUGAGUGCACAGACAUUGGUGUGUCAUUUUUGUGUAGUUUAUCCAAUUUGUAGAGUAUCUUUUAACCAAAAUGCUUGGAAUAUGUCUAUUGGAAUACCUUAUAUUUGCACAUACAUACAUAAAGAGAUAUCCUGGAUAUGAGACCCAAAUCUAAAUACAAGAGAUGUUAUUGUUGUUGUUGUUGUUGUUGUUGCUAUUUCUAUUAUUACUUGCCUCUCCGCACAGCUUGCGGGAAGCACAACGUAGUUUAAAUGUAUCAUCACAAGAAAUCUUGGUGAUGAGACCCAAGUCUAAACACAAAACUCAUUUAUGUUCCAUAUGCAUCUUAUCCAUGUGGGUAAUAUAAUGCACAAUAUUUGUAAUACUUGUGUGCAUGAAACAAAGUAUGUGUACAUUGAACCACCUGGAAGUAACAAUCUCAGCUAUCAUGUGAAUAUUUUUUGAUGUUGCCAUAUUUCAGGUUUUAGAAUUCCAGAUAAGGGAUGCUCAAGCUGUCGUAGCCUGUGAUCAUGAUAAGUUAGUUGUCUUCAUUUCUUCUUCAUUGUUGUGAUAAAUGCAGAGUAUUUUUUCCACCAAGCACUAGUGUGGAAUCAGACAUUGAAUGUACAAGUUUUCUUCUGCCACAAACGUGAAGGCACUUUAAUUGAGACUAGGUGCACUCCAUGUUCCACUUUAAUAAGAUAUGAAAAGUAACUUGGCUAUCUUUGAGGUCUGCAAAGCAAAGAAAAAUGAAAUAAAGAAGACUUUUAAAAUUUUAAGUAUAUUUUCUUUUCACCUGUAACAUGCCAAUAUUUUAUUCAUUCACAUAUUUUCAUUUAUGAAUCUUUUGCUUGGCUCUUUAUUAUUUUAUACUGGAAUAUUUUGAUUAAAUAUUUAAAAUGACCAUGGCCAAGGCUAGACAGCAUUGACCUUGGUAAUAACUUAACUUGGGGAGGGGGAGCUUUCACUUUAGAGAUACCAACUAAGAGAAUAUGCAGUUGAAAUAUUAUGCAUACCAUAACCAUUGCUAAUAGUAAACCAGCCCUUGCUUUUUUUUAACAGAGUAUUAUAUAGCACAAAACAUAACAUAACAAGUUGCACAUAACAACAAGUGCACCAGUGUUUUACUACUUUAUUGCUCACAAAUCAAGGGUAACAUAUAAUUUAAAAAUCCUUGUAGUGCUUUUUGAACCAUUUCAGAGGGAGAGGAUGUUUAAUAUAUACCCAACAUCUCGUUGCUAUGCAACCUGAAGAAUUAUGAAUUUAGCACCAUAAUGCCUGUCUAUUUUUUCCUGAUUGUAUUAGCUUAAUAAACAGAUUAAAGUGCAUUUGUAUUGAUGCAACUGUUGCCAAGGCCAGGGCUGUUGCCCCCAGCAACUGUUCCAUUUUGCAUCUCAGAGUCCAGAAAAGAUCACACAUCCCAUGAAAUUCC
rnacentral:lncRNA from 1 species